CACUUGGCAGAUUUUGUUUCCUCCCUUGAAAUCCCACUGGACGUGGAGCAGAGCAUUCACUUGAAGACGUCGGAGGACGGUCUGCAGAAGAAUUAAAACUUUACAACGUAACGUGAAGCUACAGAAGAAGAGGCAGAGUUACUACUCUGAUAAUCUUGCCAGCUCCUCCAGAGCUAUAAAGGACUGAAGUAACUAAAGUGUUCACCAGCAUUUUAUUAAAGCAGACAAUAUAUGUAAUUGCAACAUUUCAAGUGGCUCAAUAAAGAUACAAAGAAAACC
rnacentral:lncRNA from 1 species